rnacentral:rRNA from 1 species
UACGUAGGGGCCUAGCGUUGUCCGGAUUUAUUGGGCGUAAAGAGCUCGUAGGCGGUUCGGCAAGUCAUGUGUGAAAUCUCCACGCUCAACGUGGAGGGGCCACCUGAUACUGCCGUGACUCGAGUCCGGUAGGGGAGUGUGGAAUUCCCGGUGUAGCGGUGAAAUGCGCAGAUAUCAGGAGGAACACCGGUGGCGAAGGCGGUGGUCUGGGCCGGCACUGACGCUGAGGAGCGAAAGCGUGGGGAGCGAACAGG